rnacentral:rRNA from 1 species
AGGACGAACGCUGGCGGCGUGCUUAACACAUGCAAGUCGAGCGGAAAGGCCCUUCGGGGUACUCGAGCGGCGAACGGGUGAGUAACACGUGAGUAAUCUGCCCCUAGCUCUGGGAUAGCUCCGGGAAACCGGGAUUAAUACCGGAUACGACCACUUUAGACAUCUGUUGUGGUGGAAAGAAUUUUGGCUAGGGAUGAGCUCGCGGCCUAUCAGCUUGUUGGUGGGGUAACGGCCUACCAAGGCGACGACGGGUAGCCGGCCUGAGAGGGCGACCGGCCACACUGGGACUGAGACACGGCCCAGACUCCUACGGGAGGCAGCAGUGGGGAAUAUUGCGCAAUGGGCGAAAGCCUGACGCAGCGACGCCGCGUGGGGGAUGAAGGCCUUCGGGUUGUAAACCCUUUCAGCAGGGACGAAGCGAAAGUGACGGUACCUGCAGAAGAAGCGCCGGCUAACUACGCGCCAGCAGCCGC